GUCACUAAACAUCUGGCUCAAAACAACACUUGCAUUACAUAUUAAUAUUAUACAACCAACUCUUGCCCCACAAGUCCAGGGUCGAUCGUCUUACAACAUUACUAUCGAGUCUAACUUUAUUACAUAAAGGGAAGUCUGAUUUCAGACUAUUAUAAUAACUAUAGCUCGUACUACCAAGCGGCGUAGUCUAGUAGUCUCAUCUUGGGUGAUGCGCCUUUUUCCUGCUUUUGCCAGAAACCCAUUUUCGGGCGGUUCUCUUGAGUUGUGCCAUACUCACUAUUUACUGCUCAAAAAAGAAUAAAAUAGAUGCAAGAAUGAGCAAUCAAAUUGCUCAGCAAGUCCACAUAGAACAAAACAACAAUCAACAGAAUAUGCACGUAAGGCAUAUAAAACAAUUUAAGUUAAAGCAACAAAGCAGCCACCGUCAAAUGACAACACAAGUUCAAGUAAAGAAAAACGCUGGUCUUCCACCUCUCGGUAAUACUACAUGGCUCGAUCAGCACCAUUUCAUGAUUACCGUUCUCCUGUGUGAUCUUUGCAGUCUGAUCGUAACCGCACAAGACACACCUACCACUCUCAUUUGCUAGCAUAAGGGUUAACAUUUGUAACCCUAAACUAUCUGCCUUACCAGAUAGUAAAUUCUCAACUCUACCACGAAUUUAAUAAAUUCGUGUUGACCAGCUUAAACAGAUUCCUACGAAUACAAGGAAAUUCUUCCAAACAAAUACUACUCAUCUCUAUCAAAGAAGUGCGAACAAUGCACCCUUUCAACAAAGAUUACCCGAAGGUAGAAGUGAAGGAUAAUUAAAAGAAUUAAAUUCCAAAGAAUAAGAUGAUCUCCAAAAAGGGAGUAAGUUAAUUGUGGUGAGAUCAUCGCUGCAAUAUAUUCACUUCAAGUUUCUAAGAUUCAGGAUAUUAUCGUUAUAAGAUCAGUUCAUUCCCGAACAAUGGGAGGGCUCGAAUUAUUGAAAGUAAUAUGUGAACAAUAUCUUUAAAGCCUUCAAAAUGAAACAGAAAUAUUUUCUCGAUUCACAAUGGUACGAAAUGGAAUAUUUUCACAAUCAACACUUAUCACAAAAUUAUGAAAUAGGCACGAAAAACUUCACGUCAAGACAGGGAUAGUAAACUUGCCUGACAUCCUUUAGCUCGGUAAGACUUUCCAGAUUUAAUAUAUAACUGGCUCCAUCUUUCCAAUUAUUAAAUGUUCUAAAUCACGCAAAAUAAUAAUUAAUAAUUUAAUAAUCUCGUUCACAGAAUAUGAAAAUCCCAAAAUAUUAUAAUUUACGCCUAUAAUUUAUUCACAUCUCUUGUCCGAAUAAUUAUUUAUUAAUCUUACACGAAACUAUGUUUUAUAUAUAUCUAUGUUCUUGUUUACUUAAUUAAAACCAAAUUAUUACAUUAUCUUAGUACUCGUACAAUCACCGAUACUCUAUUUUAAGAAAAAUGUCAUCCUUCACUAAUAACCCAACUUACUAAAUGGUUUCUAAGAUCCGAAAUAACUUAUCCAAAUUCCAAACUUAUUAUUCCAUUAUUAAUAUAACCCAAAUUCUAAGAUUUUACCAAUUUAAUAAUUGAUGAGUCUUAUUCCAUCCUUUAGCUCCAACAUUAUCGACAACAAACCCGUUUUAAACUCCAAAAUUCUUUCACCAUUUCUACUCAAAUAUUCUUAUUUCACCUAUUUUCUGAUUUCUUAUUUCUAAAGUUUAUUUAUUUUAAUAUUAUCAUACCCAAACAUUUCCAUCCCUAAAAUCUAACACUACCUUCUCAUUAUUGAUUUUAUUCCCACUCAAUUUUAAAAUAACCUUAAACUCCUUAUUUUCUAUAUUUAUUUAGAUAAAUAUCAGUCUGUAAAAUGAUCAAAUUGCCCCCAACUCCAUCUCCCCCUUUUCUCCCCACUCCACAACUCCUCACUCUCUCCUUACACAAGUAAACCAACCACAAAUCUUUUAGUUAUAAAUUUCUAUUAGCAACCACAAAUCGACCCAACAAAAGUAGUUUCUUUUGAACCCUAAAUUUCUUUCUAAUUGGGGCAAUCGACUUUUGUGACCAUGUGUAUGUAUAUAGUCUCAGCAGUUUAAGUUUUAGAUUUAAAUUCUAGUGAGUGGAGCCCAGCAUCAGAGUGUACAAGCAAGAGUAUAGUCCUGCCAUAAGCAUACAUACGCAAGCUUAUAAUAAUAGAGAUGGAACAAAGGUUACCUUAUUUAAUCUGAUUUGAUUUGCUCACAAUCUCCCUACUUAAAGCUCUGCUACUGCCUUUUGUAUAUUUUAGGUGUAGAAGAACUAAAUUGCUCAUUUCCUUUGAGUAUUUAUAGGCAUUUAUUAAUCACACUUAACUCUUAAUUACUCAAUAAUUUAAUUCAUAAUUAAAAAAAUUUACUUGGGCAGUACUCAUCUUACUUGGGCAAUACGCACAAAUAUUGGGCACCAAGUUUUGCACAUGUUUCAAGGCCAUCUUUUAUGUUUAUUUAUUAUUUUAUUUUAUUUUAUUUUAUGUUUACCAAUAGUUCAGUCCCGACUCAUUAAACGAUUCCUAUUUAAAUAUUAAAAUUAAAUUUUUCGAGAUUAUUAAAAAUAUUAUUAUAAUUAAUUAAAUAAUUAUUCCAAUGCUUCUCUGAAUAUUUUGAAUUUUUAAUAAUUAUAAAGAACUAUUUAUUUUAGCUAACCCGUAAUAUUUAUAAUUUCUGGGUCGCAACAAAACUAUACGUCUACCAACUGAUUUACGUAACCCGAAUUUUAAUUUGCUAGCCGAUAUAAUCUAAACUCGCGCUAGCCUUAAAUAUUGUACAUACCAGUAUUUUAUUAAUAAUAGAUUCAUAAUUAUUUAAAUAAUAACUUUAACCGCAUAUAAUCAAAUAAUGAAUUUAUUUAAGUUCUUGAAAUUUUGCGGUUGUUACAUUCUUCCCUCCUUUAAAGGAUUCUGUGCUCGGAAUCAUGAUUUGUGUUGAACAACUCUCAUUGCAUCUUCUAGUUUCCACGUCACUUUUUCUAUAGCUUGAUUUCGCCAGAUCAUUUUAAGUAAUUUCACUUCCUUAUUCCGUACCUCUUGAAAUUUAGAAUCUACAAUCUACACUGGUUUCUCUUCGUACGUCGGAUUUGGUUAGAUAUGUGUUGCCUCAUAGUUCAAAAUAUGACGGUUGUCAGUCUUGUAAACUUUUCUUAGAUUCUCAAACGAUCCUGUAUAUCUCUGAUUCAACUUACCUUAUUUCCCGAAUCUAACUAUUCCUUUCCAAUAUGACACUUUCCAAAGCACUUUUCCUCUUACUUCAAAUGCUUUCUCUUUUAUUUCUAAAUCUGUAUAUAUAUAUAUAUAUAUAUAUAUAUAUAUAUAUAUAUAUAUAUAUAUAUAUAUAUAUAUAUUAUCUAUCUUGAGUGCCACUAAUCUCGUUCGUAUCUUUUCAAUUGAUUACUUGGUAUGUUGAACUAAUUCUUAUCCUAGAAUCUCUUUCUCUCCAACUUCAUCCCAAACAAAGAGGCGAUCUACCCUUUCUUCCAUAUAAUGACUCGUAAGGUACCAUCCAAUACUAGAAUGAUAGCUAUUCCUCUAAACAAACUCUAUUAAAGAUAAGUGAUCAUCCUACUCUUUCUUGAAAUUCAAAGAACAAGCUCUUAACAUAUCUUCAAUAAUCUGAAUCAUUCUUUCACUCUGUUUAUCAGUCUAAGGGUGAUACAUAGUACUCAGGUUAAGUUUAGUUCCAAAAUAUUCCUGAAAUAUUUGCCAAAAUCUCGAUAUCAUUCUCUCAUCUUUAUGCGAAACAAUUGAUACCGACAAUUCAUGCUUAGACACAACUUCAUUCAUAUACAUCUUAACUAAUUUCUUGAGGGUAUAUUUCUCACUAAUAGAAAGGAGAAGGGAAAGAAAACUUCUCUUUUCACUUCUUAUCUACUACUUAUCCUUUAUUCUUCUCAUAAGUCAUAUCUCACUAGUUUCUUAAUCAUCAUCAUUAUAAUUCCAUCCUGUCAUCAUUAUUACAUAAUUAAAAAAUAUAUUAUCCUUUAUUAUUCGUGAUGUUAUAAUGCUUUCUUUUUAUCCUAUAUUUUAUUUUUGUGAAAUAUAUAUUUUGUGUUCCAAUACUUUAUUAUUAGUCAAUUUUUUAAUUAAUAUUCUAAAAAAACAUAACUAUAAUGUUUUCUCUUAUGCUAUGAGAUCUACGCGCUAGCCAAGAUCUCAUAGCAUAAUAUAUUUCGUAAUUAAAAAUUUUAAUAUGUGUGAGACUAUGAGUGGAUUUUGUCAACCUAUCAACAAUUACCCAAAUAGCAUCAUGAUUGGUUCAGGUUUUAGGUAAAUCUACUAUGAAAUUCAUGGUAAUGUGUUCCAUUUUCAUUCUGGGAUCUCUAAUGGUUGCAACAACAUAUCAGGUCGGUGUUUUGCUUUUACUUUCUAAUAAAUCAAAUAUUUACUUACCCACUCAGCCAUCUCACUCUUCCUAUUAGGUCACCAAUAGUUUCUUUUACAAUCUUGGUAAAUCUUGGUACUUCCUGAGUGUAUAGAGUAUCUCGAUUCAUGAGCUUCACUCAAAGCAUCGUGUUUAAGUUCUAUCACAUUAGGAAUCCAAAUCCUAUUGAUAAAUUUCCCAAUUCCUUUCUCACCUUUUACACUAAAGUACUAAUGGCCUGUUACUUCAGAUCGUCUCCUUUCAAUCAUUAAUUCUUGACUCUUUUUGAUUCUUUCUAGUAAUCCUAGUCGCAUUAACAUUUCAUAAAUCCUUCCCUCCUUUUGGUCGGAAUCCUUAAUCUCCAAUCCUACCUUUUCCACUUCCUUAAUAAAUUCUUUUGGUAAAAACAUUACCUUGACUCUUUCUUUCCUACCUAAUGCAUCAGCAACGAAGUUCACUUUUCCUUUUCAGGGUGAUAAUUAAUUGUAUAAUCAUAGUCAUUUAUAAAUUCUAACCAUCUCCUUCUUUCUGAAUAAGCAAGUAUUUUAAACUCUUAUAAUCUGUGAAUAUCUCAUAUUUCUCACCAUAUAAGUAAUGUCACCAAAUCUUUAAGGCAAAUACUAUAGUAGCUAAUUCUAGGUCAUGGGUAGGGUACCUUAACUUUUAAUCCUUAAGUUGUCUAGAAUCAUAUGCUAUCACUUUUCCAUGUUGUACAAGAACACAUCCUAGUCUCUUAUGAGAUGCAUCACUAUAGAGUACAAAGUUUCCUGUCUCCUCAUGUAAGGUUAACACAUGGGUUAUUAUAAUUCGCUUCCUUAAUUCCUAAAAGCUCUCCUCGCACUUGGGGGUUCAUUCAAACUUCUUUUCUUUCCUAGUCAACUUGGUCAAAUAAAUAGCAAUCUUAGAGAAAUCUUUUACGAAUCUCUUAUAAUAUCCUUCUAAUCCAAGAGACUUCUUACUUCUGUUGGGUCCUUAGUUUUUUUUUUUCAAUUUGAUAUUGCCUCAAUCUUUGCGGGGUCUACUGAUAUUUCUUUCUUGGAAACUAUAUGCCCUAAAACUGUACUUGCUCUAUCAAAAUUCACAUUUCGAAAUUUGCAUAUAACUUUUCUUUCAACAAAAUAUCCAAGUUAUCCAUGCUCUACUUUCGUCUUAGAAUAAAUCAAAAUAUCUUUGAUAAACAAUAAUGAAUUUAUCCAAAUAUUUCUUAAAUACUUUAUCCAUAAUAUCCAUAAAUGUCGUAGGUGUAUUAGUUAAUCCACAAGGCAUCACUAAGAACUCAUCAUGUCCGUAUCGGGUCCUAAAGACCGUUUUAGGUAUAUUCUCAGACCUGAUUCUUUAACCGAUGGUAUCCAGAUCUCAAGUCUAUCUUAAAAAGUAAGAUGCUUUCCUCAACAGAUAAAACAAAUCAUCAACCCUAGGCAAGGAUCAUCUUAUUAAACCUCGAUAAUCGAUGUAACAACCCUCAAAUCCAGGGGUCUGGAUUUGACAUCUCCAUACAACACCUUCUUAAAACACUUUAGGAAAAAUUGCGUUUUUGAAAAGAACAAAAUCAAACAAUUUGAUAUCUGAGCAUUUCGAGAAGAAUUUAAAGGAAAUCAGAAUUUUUAAAACUUUCUUGGAUAUAUAGAAGUCUUUCACAAUGGUAUCACUGAUCAAUGAGUUUUCAAAGUAGCUUUCAUUUGAGAUAAAAGGAUGAUUGGGAGCCCAAUACGAUCAAAUGAACUAAGUGUUGCGUGUCUAAAUUAAGACACUACUAAAGGUUGUUAACCUUCUUGUAAUUACAACACACACAAGUGAUGGCGUCCCAUCCAACUCCUAUCACACAGAUAGGUAUACAUUGUGUCCCCUAUAAUUAGGGUUGUUCAUCCCAAUCAGAUUGAAAAAACUAUUAAGGAAGAUUUAUUUCAAAGAUUUGAUUUUGAAUCGUUAUUUCACAAUUUGGACAACUUUAAUCUACCAUAAUUAUUUCUCAACACACUUCUUCCGAGGAAUUUGAGCAAUGCAUCCUUUAAUCAUAAUUCAAGGAUUUUCAGUGGAUAGAAUCAGAAAUAGAAUCAAAUAUGAGACGAUCUCUUAGAAUUAUUAGAUUGAGAUCAUCAUUGUGUUAGGUUUAUACUGAAAUAUUCGUUUGAAGUAUAUAACAAUUAUUUGAGAAUCUUCAAUGCAUGUUUUCACAUUGUCUGUAUAUUAUAUAUUGUAGACAAUCUAGUAUCAAAUGGGAUAGCAGAAGAUUAGAUUGUCAGACUCCUUAUAUAAUAUAAUAAAGGUUCACAGUCGAGGUGGUGUUAGACAAACCACUGGAACGGCUGAAGUAUUAUUUGGAAAUAGUUUAUCUUGACUAUUGAAUAAUACUUAUAUACUUUGUGUAUAUUGAACGGGAUCAAAAUAGUAGAAUAAUUGUUUCUUUAAUUCUGACAAUAAAGAACUAAGAUUCUAUGAUGUUAUUAAUGCUUAAGUUCUUAAUCCGGAUAUAGUGAUUGACACUUGUAUUUAAUGCACAUGCCUUGACUCAUAAAUUAAGUAAUUUAUUUUAAAUUACGAAUUUAUGUAUUGGGCAAUGACAUUAUAUACAGAGUGGGAUAUUGACUAUAAAAGGAAACCGUGUCCGAAAAAUAUAUUCGGGUGAUGAUGUCCUCUUGAAAGCUCAUAAAGAUAAUUAUGCUUUAGUCCUGCAGGCAGAUUUGUUCUUGCAUAAUUAUAAGGUUGAGUGGAUGAUCAAGGAUAAAAGAUAUUAAUUAAAUUAAUUGUCAGAAAUUAAUUUAAUUAAUGGACAUGCGAUAUCUUAAACAUGGGGAAUUUAUAAGCAAUUAAUAUGGGAGCCGAAUUAAAUAAUUAAUUUACGGAAUUAGGAAAGGUAGUGCAAAUAUUAGUUCUUUAGUGGAUAGAAUUAAUAUUUAAUGACAUUGGGCCUGGCCCGGAAUGUCAUUGGAAGGCCUGACCUAAUGAUCCAUGAUCCCUGCUGUAGCCUAUAUAUAUUCUCGUUCUCCUAAAGCUGAAAGACACACCAAAACGAAUUAAUCCUAGAGUCAGAGAGAGGCAGACGUUUUUCUCAAGGAGACAGCUAGGGUUUUGGGUUUUCGGAGCUUUAAGGAGAGGCACACCUUGGGAGAUCGAAGGCCACACUUCGUCCAAGGAGAAUCAAGGAAUACAGUAGAAGACGUGGAUUUGAAUCGCUUGCGCCGUAGCGAUUAAGGUUAAUAUUCUGUUCGAACUUUUAAUUAGUAUCAUAAAACGCAGGACCAAGGUCCGAUUGUUCCUACAAUGGCAUCAGAGCCAGGUUGCGGUUCUGCGAUUUAUGAUAUGUAGUCCAUGUCAUGAUUAUAUAUGCAUGUAUAUAGUGAUUCUGUGAUGCAGGUCGUUGUCCACUAUUAUGGCCGUGUUUUAAUUAUUCUGUUAUGUUUGGAUUCCACGUGGUUUAUCGUGGCUGUUGUAAAUCACGAGGGUUGAUCGUGAUAGUUUAAUCUUGUAAUUCAAUUUGUAAUUGUUUUAGAUUAUGAUCUGAUGUAAUAGAAUAGGCUGGUUCGUCUGUACAAUUUGUAUGUAAUUGUUUGAUCAACGGGGCUGCAAGAAACAGAGAUCUUCCGCUGCUGCGAUCUGUUGCCGCUGCUAUUUAGGGUAACUUUUGCAUACGAUGUCCGAUUUGGGCGCAUAAUACCUUUUCGGGGACGGCAGAACUAGACGGACAGGCUCCAAAUUGACGUAGUCCAUUUGGUGCAGUUUUUCAGGGCGUUCUGAGGCUGUUUAGGCCUCCAAACGGGCUCUCGAAGAUUUUCGGAAUUUUUCGAAGGAUGAUUUCGAAGCUGUUUUUCCGGGGCCAUAAUAGUGGAUGUGUUUCAUUAUGUUUUACAUAAUUUCUGCCUUUUCUUGAUUAUUGCUACUAUGUGUUUCUUGUCUGUGUUGUUAUGCCAUGUGAUACUAACCCUUCGCAUGCUAGAAUGACAUGGACAUAGGGAUGUUUUUAAUUAAUGCUUUAAUCAUGCUAGUAUGCUGCCAUGUUAUGUGUUCUUUAUGUGUUCUUUAUGUUGCUAUAACCAUGAUAGUAUGCAUGUGGACUUCGAAGAAAUAACAUAGGGCGAUGCAUCUAGAUUAAAAUCCUCAAAGUAAAUUCUAAGUGGGAGAGGGAGUUAAUAUGGUAUUAAAUCCCAUGGUCUCCAUCAUUGUUUGUAUGUAAUUUAACAUAAAGGCGAAUAUAAAUUAUGUAUACGUCACCCAUCGUGGCAUGUAAUUUAUGGUGUCUAGAAUGUUAUAGAUAUUACUGGAACAAACUUCUUAAAUUAAUACGAAUAGAUACGGAUUUUCUUUAUCUCUGAUUUGGGGCGAUUUCUAAGGCUUAUGGGUAUUAAGUGAGACCGAUGUGACUCCUCCACUGCCUAGAAGUCAAACCAGACACGAAUAUUGAAUUGAAGUAUUCUAUUCGAGAAAUAUUGGAAGGUAUACAUGCCGCCCAUCGUGGCGUACCAAGUUCCAUAGGUUUCGGGUAAUUUAAGAUUUGAUGAUGGUAUACACUUAGCUAUGAAAAAUAAUAUAGACCACCCCAACGUGGCUUAUUGUUUAGUAAUAGGACCGAAGUAACGUUUAAACAAAUUUAGGUGGUAUACAUGUCACCCAUCGUGACGUACCAGAAACUUAUGGUGUUUAAACGUUAGUGCAUUUAAUUUUAAUAAUUGUUAGAGGAACCAAUAGGACUUAAUUUUUUAUGCACCCUUCUUUAUGUGUAAUGUGAUUUUUUCAUGCAUGAUUCUCAGGAUAUAAUGGGGUUUAAUCCACUGUUCACCAUACUUAAGGAUAACAAACUUACCGGACCUAACUAUAUUGAAUGGAAACGUAAUUUGGACAUUGUGUUGACUGCUGAGGAGUACAAGUUUUGCACUUAUGAACCCAAGCCUGAGCAGCCCGCUGCUGAUGCUCCUGAUGAGGAGAAAGAGUAUUAUAAGCGGUGGACAAAGGCUGAUGAGAUGUCGCGAUGUUACAUUCUGGCAGCAAUGUCGGGUGUUUUGCAGCAUCAGCAUCAGGCUAUGGCCACUGCUUCGGAUAUGCUCUUUAAUCUCAAGGAACUUUUUGGAGAUCAGAAUAGGGCUGCUAGGCAAGUAGCCAUGAAGGCUUUAAUGAACACUCAGAUGGCUGAAGGUACACCUGUAAGGGAUCAUGUUCUCAAGAUGAUGUCACAUCUGAAUGAGAUAGAGAUCCUUGGUGCAGAGCUUGACGGGGAAACCCAGAUUGACAUUAUCCUUAUGAGCUUGCCCAAGAGUUUUGAGCAGUUCCGCUUGAAUUACAACAUGAACAAGAGGCAGUAUAGUCUUGCGGAACUGCUGACAGAACUUCAGGCAGCUGAAGGAUUAUUUCGCCAGAGUGUUCAAGUGAAUGUGGCUGAGAAAGGUUCUUCCUCUAAGCCGAAAGGCAAUAAGAAGAAGAAAAAGGCUCAGACACAGAAAGCUGUGAAGGCAGUGGGAGUUCAAGGUGGUGUGAAAAAGCCUAAGGGGAAGUGCUACCGGUGCAAGCAGUCGGGUCACUGGAAAAAGGAUUGUCCUCUUCCUAAGAAGACAAACGAUACUGGUAUGUCUCUUUCUCUAGUUACAGAAACAUUUGUAGCGGCUAUAUCUACGAGCACUUGGUGUGUAGAUACUGGAGCCACUGAUCAUGUUUGUAACUCUAUGCAGGGGUUCCAGCAAUCCAGAAUGCUUAGAGAUGGUGAGAUCUACGUGUUCAUGGGAGAUGCUACGAAAGUAGCAGUAGUUGCAGUAGGAGUUAUUCAUUUAUCUUUUGGUUCUGAUAGGAUUUUGGUUUUGAACAAUUGUCUUUAUGUACCUUCUUUUAGAAGGAAUUUGAUUUCGGUUUCUAAACUUGCUAUGGAUGGUUAUAAUGUUUGUUUGGAUCGUAAUGUUUCUAUUAUGAUGAAUAAACGGAUUAUAUGUUCUGGUACAUUGCAAGACAAUUUGUAUAUAAUUAAUCCUAGUCAACCCGCACUGCAACUACAACAUAGGGUAUUGAACAACACAUCUUCUACCUCUAAUAAAAGAAAGGAACCUUCUAGUUUGAACCAAACAUAUCUUUGGCACUUGAGAUUAGGUCAUAUUAACUUGAGGAGGAUUCAAAGACUGGUAGUAGACGGGCCUUUAGGCUCAUUGGCAGUGGAGCCAUUUCCAGUUUGUGAAUCCUGCUUGGAAGGUAAAAUGACCAAUAGGCCUUUUAAGGCAAAGGGGAAUAGAGCCAAAGAAGUGUUAGGAUUGGUUCACUCUGAUUUAUGUGGACCUAUGAAUAUCCAAGCAAGAGGUGGUUAUGAGUAUUUCGUCACUUUUAUUGACGAUUAUUCUAGAUAUGGAUACGUUUAUUUGUUGCGCCGUAAGUCUGAGUGCUUUGAGAAAUUCAAAGAGUACAAAGCUAAAACGGAGAAGCGACAUAAUAAAAGUAUCAAGUCACUACGAUCUGAUCGUGGUGGCGAAUACUUGCUUGGGGAAUUCAGGGAAUAUUUAUCAGAGAAUGGGAUAGAAUCCCAGUUGACUGCACCAGGCACACCCCAGCAGAACGGUGUAGCAGAGAGAAGGAACCGGACUCUUUUAGAGAGUGUUAGAUCGAUGAUGAGUUAUUCGGAUUUACCCAAGUCCUUUUGGGGACAUGCCUUAGAGACAGCAGCUUAUCUUCUGAACUUAGUACCUUCUAAGUCGGUUCCUAAAACCCCUUUAGAAUUGUGGACCGGGGACAAACCGAGUCUGAGACACAUUCGGAUAUGGGGUUGUCCAGCACAUGUGCUGAACAAGAACGCGACUAAGCUAGAAUCUCGUACAGAAGUAAAGCUGUUUGUAGGCUACCCCAUGGGAACAAAAGGUUAUUUAUUUUAUAGUCCUAAGGAUCGGGAUGUCACUGUUAGCACCAAUGCAAGAUUCUUAGAGGAAGACUAUAUAAUGAAUCACAAACCCAUGAGUAGUAUCGUUUUAGAGGAAUUAGUGGGAGGGACGAAUAAUGAACCUGUAGUACAAGUAGAACAACCACAGCAGACUGUGCAACCGGUCACUAAUACCGCACCAGUUCCUCGUCGUAGUGGGAGGGUUGUUCGACAGCCCGACAGAUUCAUGUUUUUGGGAGAGUCUUCGGACUUGGUCUCUGGUGAACAUGAUGAUGAUCCCCGGACAUACGAAGAGGCAAUACAGGACAAAGAUGCAAGUCUUUGGCAAAAGGCAAUGGAUUCUGAGAUGGAAUCAAUGUAUUCUAAUCAGGUCUGGGAGCUCGUGGAACCACCCAAAGGUGUAAAACCUAUUGGAUGUAAGUGGGUCUACAAGAAAAAGAGGGGAUCAGACAAAAAGGUGAAAGCCUGGAAAGCAAGACUUGUUGCGAAAGGGUAUACUCAGAAAGAAGGUAUCGAUUAUGAGGAAACCUUUUCGCCAGUAGUCAUGCUUAAGUCAAUCCGUAUUCUUUUAUCUAUAGCAGCUCAUCUCGAUUAUGAGAUUUGGCAAAUGGAUGUCAAGACAGCUUUCCUUAAUGGAAAUCUUGAGGAAACCAUCUAUAUGCAGCAACCAGAGGGAUUCAUUAAAGAAGGCCAAGAGCAUCUUGUUUGUAAGCUGAAGAGGUCUAUUUAUGGACUUAAACAAGCUUCUAGGUAUUGGAACAUUCGCUUUGAUCAGGCAGUCCAGUCAUAUGGAUUUGAUCAAUGUCCAAGCGAAGCAUGCGUGUAUAAGAGAUGUGAGGGAAAUGCAGUGGUUUUUCUAGUGCUUUAUGUUGAUGACAUUUUACUCAUUGGAAACAAUGUUAAGAUGUUGUCUUCAAUAAAGGCAUGGUUGUUCAAACAAUUUGAAAUGAAGGACUUAGGUGAAGCAGCAUACAUCCUUGGGAUCAAACUUAUAAGGGAUCGCAAGAAAAGGAUGUUGGCUUUAUCUCAGGAGCCCUACAUAGAUGACGUAUUAGCUCGUUUUAACAUGCAGGACUCCAAGAAGGGUAAUUUACCCUUCAGACAUGGAGUUACUCUAUCAAAGAGGCAGUGUCCUUCGACACCUAAGGAGAUAGAGAACAUGAAGGCAGUUCCUUAUGCUUCGGCAUGUGGGAGCCUAAUGUAUGCAAUGUUAUGUACGAGGCCUGAUAUCUGCUUUGCCGUGGGCAUGGUUAGCAGAUACCAGUCAAACCCAGGACAAGAACAUUGGAGUGCUGUAAAAGCAAUACUCAAGUACCUGCGAAGGACUAAGGAGUAUAUGCUGGUUUACAAGUCCUCUGAUUUAGUGCCUCUGGGAUAUACCGAUUCGGAUUUCCAGACGGAUAAGGAUAAGAGAAAGUCCACCUCGGGAUGUGUUUUUACUUUGGGAGGUGGAGCCGUAAUAUGGAGGAUUGUGAAGCAGAAAUGCAUCGCGGACUCAACCAUGGAAGCCGAAUAUGUGGCAGCCUCGGAGGCAGCCAAAGAGGCUAUAUGGUUCCGAAACUUCCUGCUGGAUUUGGAUGUGGUUCCUAAUCUGCCACAGCAGAUCACGAUUUAUUGUGAUAACACUGGUGCUGUGGCGAAUACCAAGGAACCGCGGGCCCAUAAGGCAGCGAAACACAUAGAGCGUAAGUAUCACCUCAUACGACAGUUCGUUAAGCGAGGAGAUAUCAUUGUGGCUGACAUAGCAUCGAAGGAUAACCGGGCAGAUCCUUUCACGAAGAGCUUACCAGCUAAGGCUUUUCAGGAGCACGUGGAAGCGAUAGGAGUCAGAUACUUGGUCACAUAGUUAUUAUAGUUGGUAGUGGAUUGCUUGUAAUAGACACUGAUAUACUCAAAGAAUAUCUUGAGUAUAAGUGGGAGAUUGUUAGGGUUAUACUGAAAUAUUCGUUUGAAGUAUAUAACAAUUAUUUGAGAAUCUUGAAUGCAUGUUUUCACAUUGUCUGUAUAUUAUAUAUUGUAGACAAUCUAGUAUCAAAUGGGAUAGCAGAAGAUUAGAUUGUCAGACUCCUUAUAUAAUAUAAUAAAGGUUCACAGUCGAGGUGGUGUUAGACAAACCACUGGAACGGCUGAAGUAUUAUUUGGAAAUAGUUUAUCUUGACUAUUGAAUAAUACUUAUAUACUUUGUGUAUAUUGAACGGGAUCAAAAUAGUAGAAUAAUUGUUUCUUUAAUUCUGACAAUAAAGAACUAAGAUUCUAUGAUGUUAUUAAUGCUUAAGUUCUUAAUCCGGAUAUAGUGAUUGACACUUGUAUUUAAUGCACAUGCCUUGACUCAUAAAUUAAGUAAUUUAUUUUAAAUUACGAAUUUAUGUAUUGGGCAAUGACAUUAUAUACAGAGUGGGAUAUUGACUAUAAAAGGAAACCGUGUCCGAAAAAUAUAUUCGGGUGAUGAUGUCCUCUUGAAAGCUCAUAAAGAUAAUUAUGCUUUAGUCCUGCAGGCAGAUUUGUUCUUGCAUAAUUAUAAGGUUGAGUGGAUGAUCAAGGAUAAAAGAUAUUAAUUAAAUUAAUUGUCAGAAAUUAAUUUAAUUAAUGGACAUGCGAUAUCUUAAACAUGGGGAAUUUAUAAGCAAUUAAUAUGGGAGCCGAAUUAAAUAUUUAAUUUACGGAAUUAGGAAAGGUAGUGCAAAUAUUAGUUCUUUAGUGGAUAGAAUUAAUAUUUAAUGACAUUGGGCCUGGCCCGGAAUGUCAUUAGAAGGCCUGACCUAAUGAUCCAUGAUCCCUGCUGUAGCCUAUAUAUAUUCUCGUUCUCCUAAAGCUGAAAAACACACCAAAACGAAUUAAUCCUACAGUCAGAGAGAGGCAGACGUUUUUCUCAAGGAGACAGCUAGGGUUUUGGGUUUUCGGAGCUUUAAGGAGAGGCACACCUUGGGAGAUCGAAGGCCACACUUCGUCCAAGGAGAAUCAAGGAAUACAGUAGAAGACGUGGAUUUGAAUCGCUUGCGCCGUAGCGAUUAAGGUUAAUAUUCUGUUCGAACUUUUAAUUAGUAUCAUAAAACGCAGGACCAAGGUCCGAUUGUUCCUACACAUUGUGGUGUAUAUUUAUUCCAAUUCUCGAAUAUUAAAUCAUGAAUCACAAAAGAUUUUGUAACAUCAAUGAAAUAUUGAUUAUUAGGAGUAGUCUCUUUCGAACAAAGGAAGGACCCAAGAUACAGAAUAAACUUCUCAGUUUUCAAAAUGAGAUUUGAUGUCAACUUGAGCUGAAAUAGUGUGAAACAUAAUAUUAUUCAUAAAUAGCGUAUUCUACAGAUCUUCUACUUAGGCAACAGGGAUUUCCCUUGUAAUGCGUUCGCGGUUUGCGAAGUUCUAAACCUUUGAUUUCCUUUUAGUUCACUAUAUUUUCUGUUGCGGCAUCUCUUAUUUCACAAAAGGUUUCUUCACACCAUGAGUCCAACGUUUCUUUUCUAUAUUUUAAUUGUUUUGCAGGGGUUUCCUAUUGACAAUCUCUAUGUUAAACAACUUACUGCUUGCCUCAACUAUACAAGUUUUGUAUACUUACAUCGCAUAGCUAGCAAUCUUGAGAACAAUAACCCUACUCUGAAUCCAGGGCUUUAAGCCCGGCUGUAAACUUUUAGCUUUCUUUUCGUCCGUAUUUACUCGAUGUGGAAUAAAUUUCGAAAGUUCCAUAAACUUAGCUUCAUGUUCAGCUACUAACAUACUCUCUUGCUUAGGUUCUAGAAAUUUGAGCUCUAUAUGAUUCUCUAGGUGUUUAGGAACAUACUUCUUUAGGAAUAACUUUGUAAACCUAUUCCGCGAUAUCACACUAGACUCUUCUAGAACUUGAUUAGCUUCCCACCAAUAAUUAGCCUCUUCAUUAAGUAGCUGUUAGGGUUAUGCUAAAAUAUUCGUUUGAAGUAUAUAACAAUUAUUUGAGAUUCUUGAAUGCAUGUUUUCACAUUGUCUGUAUAUUAUAUAUUGUAGACAAUCUAGUAUCAAAUGGGAUAGCAGAAGAUUAGAUUGUCAGACUCCUUAUAUAAUAUAAUAAAGGUUCACAGUCGAGGUGGUGUUAGACAAACCACUGGAACGGCUGAAGUAUUAUUUGGAAAUAGUUUAUCUUGACUAUUGAAUAAUACUUAUAUACUUUGUGUAUAUUGAACGGGAUCAAAAUAGUAGAAUAAUUGUUUCUUUAAUUCUGACAAUAAAGAACUAAGAUUCUAUGAUGUUAUUAAUGCUUAAGUUCUUAAUCCGGAUAUAGUGAUUGACACUUGUAUUUAAUGCACAUGCCUUGACUCAUAAAUUAAGUAAUUUAUUUUAAAUUACGAAUUUAUGUAUUGGGCAAUGACAUUAUAUACAGAGUGGGAUAUUGACUAUAGAAGGAAACCGUGUCCGAAAAAUAUAUUCGGGUGAUGAUGUCCUCUUGAAAGCUCAUAAAGAUAAUUAUGCUUUAGUCCUGCAGGCAGAUUUGUUCUUGCAUAAUUAUAAGGUUGAGUGGAUGAUCAAGGAUAAAAGAUAUUGAUUAAAUUAAUUGUCAGAAAUUAAUUUAAUUAAUGGACAUGCGAUAUCUUAAACAUGGGGAAUUUAUAAGCAAUUAAUAUGGGAGCCGAAUUAAAUAAUUAAUUUACGGAAUUAGGAAAGGUAGUGCAAAUAUUAGUUCUUUAGUGGAUAGAAUUAAUAUUUAAUGACAUUGGGCCUGGCCCGGAAUGUCAUUGGAAGGCCUGACCUAAUGAUCCAUGAUCCCUGCUGUAGCCUAUAUAUAUUCUCGUUCUCCUAAAGCUGAAAGACACACCAAAACGAAUUAAUCCUAGAGUCAGAGAGAGGCAGACGUUUUUCUCAAGGAGACAGCUAGGGUUUUGGGUUUUCGGAGCUUUAAGGAGAGGCACACCUUGGGAGAUCGAAGGCCACACUUCGUCCAAGGAGAAUCAAGGAAUACAGUAGAAGACGUGGAUUUGAAUCGCUAGCGCCGUAGCGAUUAAGGUUAAUAUUCUGUUCGAACUUUUAAUUAAUAUCAUAAAACGCAGGGCCAAGGUCCGAUUGUUCCUACAGUAGCAAAGAUCGUUUUCUUAUCAUCUUCUUCACCAACUACUUCAAAAAUCUUUUCUAUUUCUCUUAGCCAUAUAUUGGCUUCAACGGAAUCUAUAAUCCCUUUAAACUUUUGGGAUUGCAAAAAUUUGAAAGAUUUGAUUGGAAAGGUAAAUUUGAUAAGUUGACUCGAAGAACUCUCAGGAUUGCUUUCAAAAUUCUGGGUAUAUAUAUAUAUGUUGUUGAAAAAAUAUCAACAAGUAAUUGAACAGGAUUUGUUCUGGGUUGAAAUCCAGGUGGAGCAUCUGGUAUUGAUUCAUCAACAGGGUUGUCAUUCAAGUUUGAAUCCGUCUCAAUAUAUAAAAGUAGACGAAACAGUCUCAUAGGUCUCAUCAUUAUACAAAAUACAAGGUUUAUCCAAAGAUACAACAAGGUGCAAUUUUGUAAAAUACACAGUAUAUAAUUUUUGAACACAGAUUCCACAUUUUGGUUGAAAAUACAAGUUGUACCAAAGUUGCAUAUUUUUGAAAACUUUUAGAAACUUUAAAGGUUGCACCUUUUCUUUUGAAAACUCUAAAACUUUAGAAACUUGAACAUUUCCCUUUUUGAAAAUUUCUAAAAAUACAACUUUAAAAGGUUGAAUAAAUACACACAUUAAAAUUUCACAUUGGAUCAUUGAUGUAGCAGAUGCAAGAUAGGUUGACAGGAAUGAAACAUGUCAAAAGUAGUUGACAAGUGCAAGAAACAUAGGGAAGGUAUAGACAAAGAAAGAGACACCAAUAUGACAACAAGAUUGAUCAUCCUUCCCAAAGUGGUCAUGAUAUCCAAAGCUUUUAGGGUACAAGUCAUGAAAUAGAAGUAUAUCUGAUGUCAUCACCGUACUACAUCAAAUCUAAUCUGGACAUCACUAUACAAAAUAUCACUAUAUAUAUAUCUCUACUGCCAGAAUGAUCUACUGAUCGAAACUGUAGUAUUUGUAUCUAAAAUAAAGAGAAGCGCACAAUCCUUUAUUCCAAUACUAUAAAGUGUCUCUAUAUAUUCUAGAUACAUCAUAUACUAUAACUGAGAUACACACAGACUAUAUGUGUUAUCUCUUAAAAGUCAUAAAACAAAUCCAUCAUCCAAAUAUCCGUGAGACCCUAUGCUGGAACUCAGAAAAGGCUCUAUUUAUCAGCAUUGUAACAAGUUUAACAUUUACAUAUCAUGAGCUGGUGGAGGGUAUCUCACCGAUAUCAGUAUGAAGUCCCUCUAAUAUAGAAAUUGAAAUCUUAUACACAAUCUCCAUACUAAACACUCGGGUCAGAAAUCCUGAACCCGCAAAACAAACAUAGGAUCGUAAGAUUCUGGAAUCCCAAAUCCAGAGUCAUAAGCAGACUCUCUCAAUAGCUGGUACUAAUGGACCAAAGAAAGUGGCACAUAGACGCCACCUGAUGGUACAAAAACUGGUGCAUAGAAAGAUCCACUAAUCUGACAAAGAGCAGUAUGAGGUGCAGAAACUGAAAUAGUGGAUAUGAAAGUAAAUAGUACACAAGUCUCUGACAUGGUAGUAACUAGGGGUGUAACUCAAACUCGAGGUUUAAGUGUGGUAUAAACAUGGGUGUGACUACUCAAAGGUGGCAUAGGAGCAUCUCCAAUCAGAGAUGGCACAACAGUCCCAAAAUGACCACAAUCAGAAGUAUGUGUGGUAAUAGGACUAUAAGAAAGAGGUGUAGACUCAAAAUGUUGAAGCAAACCCAAAAUGGAAGGGUCCUCACUCUCAAAAAUAGGUGGAGGAACAGUAGAAGUGUUAAUCGAAAAGGAAGUGGUCAAAGUAGGAAUAUAAGUCAACUCAAGUAAAGAUGGAAAGAUGUCUAUCCCAUCACUCUUAUUGAACUUAGAAGAUUAUUUAUCCCCGAUAUCCUCAACUACUAAGUUAAUGAUCUCAGGUGUUAGUGUAUCUAAUAUCGGUAUAGAAGAAUUCCCAUACUCGAUAUCGAUCAUCUCAAUCUUCAUCAAUGGAUUAGGAUCAGUCGUAACCUAUCAUCUACAUAAUACAACAAACACCAUUAAUAAUGGUUACUACUACGAUUGCUCGUAACUAUAAACGUUUAUAUUUGUAGGGUCUACUAACCCUUUGCUAAAAGUUUAUGUGGUAUAUAUGUUAUCUAACAUAUGGAGAUAGGUUCUUCUAGGAUACCUAUCUUAACCCUCGAGUCAUUCUCGCUCGUUAUAUUCCUAGGGUUUCUCGAAUCCUAAGGAUAUAACUACAGCUCUGAUACCAAACUUGUAACGCCCCCAGAUUCGCAUCCCGCAAAUCUGGUUCGUCACUAAACAUCUGGCUCAAAACAACACUUGCAUUACAUAUUAAUAUUAUACAACCAACUCUUGCCCCACAAGUCCAGGGUCGAUCGUCUUACAACAUUACUAUCGAGUCUAACUUUAUUACAUAAAGGGAAGUCUGAUUUUAGACUAUUAUAAUAACUAUAGCUCGUACUACCAAGCGGCGUAGUCUAGUAGUCUCAUCUUGGGUGAUGCGCCUUUUUCCUG
rnacentral:lncRNA from 1 species